GACGAACGCUGGCGGCGUGCCUAAUACAUGCAAGUAGAACGCUGAAGAGAGGAGCUUGCUCUUCGUGGAUGAGUUGCGAACGGGUGAGUAACGCGUAGGUAACCUGCCUUGUAGCGGGGGAUAACUAUUGGAAACGAUAGCUAAUACCGCAUAACAAUGGAUUACACAUGUCAUUUAUUUGAAAGGGGCAAUUGCUCCACUACAAGAUGGACCUGCGUUGUAUUAGCUAGUAGGUGAGGUAAUGGCUCACCUAGGCGACGAUACAUAGCCGACCUGAGAGGGUGAUCGGCCACACUGGGACUGAGACACGGCCCAGACUCCUACGGGAGGCAGCAGUAGGGAAUCUUCGGCAAUGGGGGCAAGCCUGACCGAGCAACGCCGCGUGAGUGAAGAAGGUUUUCGGAUCGUAAAGCUCUGUUGUAAGUCAAGAAAGGGUGUGAGAGUGGAAAGUUCACACUGUGACGGUAGCUGAACAGAAAGGGACGGCUAACUACGUG
rnacentral:rRNA from 1 species